rnacentral:lncRNA from 1 species
UGGAGUCUGAUGACCAAGGGCAGGAAGCAUCCAGCACGGGACAAAGAAGAAAGCCAGAAGACUCAGCAAGCCAGCUCAUCUCACUUUCUUCUGCCUACUUUGUUGUAGCUGAGCUGGCAGCCAGUUGGAUGGUGCACACUCACAUUGAGGAUUGGGAGGCUGCUGUGUAUGGAUAAGAUACCUGCUACAGCCAGCUUGACACCAUGAGAAGGACAAGAGAAUUGCAGAGACACAUAUCCAGGAUUCUGAUCCAGUUGAGGCACUGAAAUAAUCUAGAACCACCUUCAAAUUUCUUAUAAAGAGAGGCUUAGAUCCUUUAUGGAGCCAGCACACACACGUCAGGCAAAAGGCAUAUACUUCACACCUUGAAGAGAAGACAGGGCCUUAUCUACUUAUACUUUUCAUCUAGUCCUCAACUUGCUGCUUCUUCCCCUUGACCUUGGUGAUUCCUAAGACAGCUAUGCUAUUAGGAUUUAAUUAAAUGGAUGCCAACAGCAAGUAAACCAUCUCCAAAGAUGCCAUGAAGCUCUCCUAAUUGCAGGAAAAUAUCAGAGGCACUUGAUUUGAGUCUUUCAAGUACGGAAAUAACAAAUUCAGUCUCAACAGACCUAUAGUGAAUGAGAAUGAUUGUCACAUAAUGUGUAGAGAAAAUGGAAGAAUCAAAGGCAAGGGAAACCUGUACAGUGGAGACACAAAGGGUCACUGGCAGAUUUCAAAUGAUCCAAGACAUCCUCAAGGAAGAUUUACCACAAGUUACUUUAUCAUAGCUUUGAGUGGCAUUUUAAUAUCAUAUUUUAAAAGAAAGAAAACAAUAGAAAUGUAUUAAAAUAUCUUCUCAAGAAUCCUUCCAAACCACAAGGAAAAUCACCAGGCCAAAAGUGAGGUUUGAAGUCUGGACAUGUACUGGUUUUCUCUAGCAAUCGACUCUCAAUUUUUGGACAUUGAGAUCUGCUGGUUGGAGAUCUUAGUGCCCAAGGAAGAAUGCUUGCAAAAGGAGAUGGAACAGUGUUUCUGUUGCAUUGGCCACUGAGAAUAUCUGGUUAUUUUGAAUUUGUCACAGUCUGCAGCUAAAAGGCGAACAGGAAAAGAAGAGAGAGCGGUAAUUUGAAUGAUAGCAGAUUUCACAUCAGGAACCAAUGAAGCUAGAUAAGAAUGCAACAUCUUUGAUGUCUAAAAGAAACAAAAAGCCAACCUUGAAUUCUUUAUUUAGUGAAGUUACCCUUCAGAAAUGACGGCAAAAUAAAGAUGUUUUCCAAUAAAAGACAACUAUGAGAAUUCUUCACCAGCAGUCCUAUUGUAUCAGAACAGCCAAAAGAAGUUUGUCAGCCUACAGGGAAUUAUAUCAAAGGGAAGACUUGACCUUGAAAAUGAAUGAGGAAUAUAAGAAAUUGAUAUUAUCUGGGAAGCGGCACAUGAGACUAGCAGGAGUAAAUGUUAUAUACACUGGGCCUCGCAAAAAUUCUGCAAUCACUGGGAAUCAGUAACCUGGUAGAAUGAGAAAACAACGUAAUACUGAAAAAUCAAAACACCAUCCUACAGAACUUUGAUGCAUUCAGAACAAAGAUCACGAAUCAAGCUGAAAAAGUAAAGCAUUCUGUGAGUUGUGGAAUGGAAAUUGCCUCAACCAUCUCACCACUUGAUGACACUUGUAAUUUCAGUGACCCAAUUCAAGCAAUCAAACAUCAAGUAAUACUCUCAAUAAAGAUGUGUAAUUAAAACAGAAGAGGAAACAGACUAACAGAAGUGAUGAAGAAUGGCAGUUCUAAGGAUGGCAGGAAUUCACUGAAUGUCUAUCUAUCAUGUAUGCUGUUGGAGGCACCUGUCUUUCAGUUCAGAGGUUAUGGAUGUAUCUAUCAUCAGUAUUUCGGGAAGUCAGGGACCCGGAACAGAGGGACUUAAUGAAGCUGUGGCAGAAGAAAAAAUUAUGAAGAUUUCAUGGACAUUUAUUAGUUCCCCAAAUUAAUACUUUUAUAAUUUCUUACA